rnacentral:lncRNA from 1 species
UCGUUCGGUUCUAGGAGCAGAUCCGGGGUAGAGGGAAAAGAGCUCCGGGCCAGGGGCUGCCGUCGCCGCCGUCGGGGAGUCAGCCCGCCAGCCCGCCAGCUCGUCAGCCCGCCAGCCAGCGCUUCGCGGGCCCUGUCGGUCCCGGCCUUGAUUGCUUGCAGAGAAAACUUUCCUGUGGCUUUAUCAUUAGUUGCCCUUCAGAGCUUUCCUGUGUAAAUAAGAAGCUAUGUUUUGGAGAAGUUUACACCGUAGAUGAACGGGAGCGAUCUGAACAUACUGCACUGCAGGUCAACACAGAGCAGGGACUUCAGUAAUUCAUAGGUAUCAGACCAAACAUUGUCUGGCUUGCACUGUAAAACUAGUUAGCUGAAGACGACUUCUCAGGUUUCUUCAGGAUGCCUGCAGCACUUGUGGAGAAUAGCCAGGUUAUCUGUGAAGUGUGGGCCAGUAAUCUAGAAGAAGAGAUGAGGAAGAUCCGAGAAAUCGUGCUCAGUUACAGUUAUAUUGCCAUGGACACAGAAUUUCCAGGUGUUGUGGUGCGACCAAUUGGUGAAUUUCGUAG